rnacentral:rRNA from 1 species
UACGUAGGGGGCAAGCGUUGUUCGGAAUGACUGGGCGUAAAGGGUGCGUAGGCGGUGUAGCAAGUUAGAAGUGGAAUACCUAGAGCUUAACUCAGGUGCUGCUUCUAAAACUGCUAUACUUGAGUGCAGUAGAGGAAAGUGGAAUUCCUAGUGUAGCGGUGGAAUGCGUAGAUAUUAGGAGGAACAUCAGUGGCGAAGGCGACUUUCUGGACUGUAACUGACGCUGAGGCACGAAAGUGUGGGGAGCAAACAGG